CAGGCACAAAAUGGAGUCGCUUAUGCUAAGGCCCCUGUCACCAAACCCAGACUUCAUUACAGUUUCGGCUCUCCCAGAAAUGGAAUCUUAAACUAGCCAAUCAGGAAUCUCCUGACCAGCAUUAGUUAGGUAAUCGACCUGACAGACCCUC